UACGUAGGGGUCAAGCGUUGUCCGGAAUCAUUGGGCGUAAAGAGCGUGUAGGCGGCUCGGUAAGUCCGCUCUGAAAGCCCGGGGCUCAACCCCGGGAGGCGGGCGGAUACUGUCGGGCUAGAGUCCGGAAGAGGCGAGUGGAAUUCCUGGUGUAGCGGUGAAAUGCGUAGAUAUCAGGAGGAACACCUGCGGUGUAGACGGCUUUCUGGACCAUCGCUGACGCUGAGACACGAAAGCGUGGGUAGCAAACAGG
rnacentral:rRNA from 1 species